rnacentral:lncRNA from 1 species
AUUCAACGUGUUUUCAUUGACAGAAAAUAUGAGGUAAAAGACCACUAAAGGCACUACCUUAUUUACUGUAUUCAUCAAAUUGAUCUCUAGGGCAAAUCAUUUCACCUCCUGAGGACAGACACACAUCUGUCAACAGGCAGCACCAUGUUUAUGUUCCAAUUGGCUAGAAACACACUGAUGUUUAAUGAAGUCUAAGUUGCCACAAAAGGCAUUUCCAUAGUCACGGCACUAGUAGGGUUUUCUUCUGCAUGAGUUCACUUAUAAGGAAGGAGCUGUGACUCUCCAUUACAGGAGUUUUCAACUUGACUGAUUCUACCCAUUUCUCUUGUGUGCAUCUUCUUAUGUUUGACAAGGUUUGAUAAGUGGGAGAAGGCUUUCUCACAAUCACUGCAUCCAUACGGCCUCUCUCCUGUAUGCGUUCUUUGAUGUACAUUGAGUACUGACUUUGUGGUGAAGGCUUUUCCACAUUCAUUGCACUCAUAAGGUUUCUCUCCUGUGUGAAUUCUCUGAUGGGUAAUGAGGCCAUAUUUGUGUGAAUAGGAUUUUCCGCACUCGGUACAUACAAAGGGAGUCUUUCCUGUAUGACAUCUCUCAUGUUGUAUGAGGCAUAUUUUCUGGCUGAAGGCUUUACCACAUUCAUUGCAUUCAUAGGGUUUUUCUCCUGUAUGAGUUCGCUGAUGUAUAAUAAGAGUGCGCUUUGUGGUGAAGCCUUUACCACAUUCAUUGCAUAUGUAAGAUUUCUCUCCUGUAUGAGUUCGCUGAUGUAUAAUGAGAGUGCGUUUGACAGUGAAGCCUUUUCCACAUUCGCUGCAUAUGUAAGAUUUUUCUCCUGUAUGGGAGCGCUGAUGUACAAUGAGAUUGCUCUUCACGGUAAAGCCUUUUCCACAUUCACUGCACAUAUAGGGUUUCUCUCCAGUAUGAGUUCGCUGAUGUACAACAAGAUAGCGCUUCAUGGUGAAGCCUUUUCCACAUUCACUGCACAUAAAGGGUUUCUCUCCAGUAUGAGUUCGCUGGUGUACAACAAGAUUGCUCUUAAAGGCAAAACCUUUUCCACAUUCAUUGCAUAUGUACGGUUUCUCUCCAGUAUGAGUUCGCUGAUGUAACAUCAGUCCGCUAUUCACAAUGAAACCUUUCCCACAUUCACUGCACCUGUAAGGUUUCUCUCCAGUAUGAGUUCGCUGAUGUACAAUCAGCCGACUCUUCAAGGGGAAGCCUUUCCCACAUUCACUGCAUGUGUAGGGCUUCUCUCCAGUAUGAGUUCGCUGAUGUAUGAUGAGCAUGCUUUUCACAGUAAAACCUUUUCCACAUUCACUACAUAGAUAUGACUUCUCUACUGUAUGAUUUCUCUGAUGUACAAUAAGAUUACUCUUCCUGGGAAAGCCUUUUCCACAUUCAUUGCAUAUGUAGGGUUUCUCUCCUGUAUGAGUUCGUUGAUGUUCGAUCAUACGGCUCUUCAUGGUGAAGCCUUUCCCACAUUCAUUGCAUAUAUACGGUUUCUCUCCUGUAUGAUUUCGUUGAUGUAUGAUGACAUAGUGUUUUGUGGUGAAGCCUUUCCCACAUUCACUACAGAUGUAGGGCUUCUCUCCUGUAUGAGUUCGCUGAUGUAUAAUAAGCAUGCUCUUCCCAGUGAAGCCUUUUCCACAUUCACUACAUAUAUAGGAUUUCUCUCCAGUAUGAUUUCGCUGAUGUACAAUGAGAUUACGCUUGCCUGGGAAGCCUUUUCCACAUUCAUUGCAUAUGUAGGGUUUCUCUCCAGUAUGAGUUCGCUGAUGUUCAAUCAGACGGCUCU